rnacentral:rRNA from 1 species
GACGAACGCUGGCGGCGUGCUUAACACAUGCAAGUCGAACGGAAAGGCCCUGCUUGCAGGGUGCUCGAGUGGCGAACGGGUGAGUAACACGUGGGUGAUCUGCCCCUUACUUUGGGAUAAGCCUGGGAAACUGGGUCUAAUACUGGAUAGGACCAUGCUGUAGGUGGUGUGGUGGAAAGAUUAGUUUCGGUAAGGGAUGAGCUCGCGGCCUAUCAGCUUGUUGGUGGGGUAAUGGCCUACCAAGGCGUCGACGGGUAGCCGGCCUGAGAGGGUGGACGGCCACAUUGGGACUGAGAUACGGGGCAGAAGCCGACGGGAGGCAGCAGUGGGGAAUAGUGCACAAGGGGCGCAAGCCUGAUGCAGCGACGCUGCGUGGGGGAUGACGGCCUUCGGGUUGUAAACUCCUAACGGCCAUGACGAAGCCCUUGUGGUGACGGUAGUUGUAGAAGAAGCACCGGCUAACUACGUG